UGAACGCUGGCGGCAUGCCUUACACAUGCAAGUCGAACGGUAACAGGUCUUCGGAUGCUGACGAGUGGCGAACGGGUGAGUAAUGCAUCGGAACGUGCCCAGUCGUGGGGGAUAACUGCUCGAAAGAGCAGCUAAUACCGCAUACGACCUGAGGGUGAAAGCGGGGGACCGUAAGGCCUCGCGCGAUUGGAGCGGCCGAUGUCAGAUUAGGUAGUUGGUGGGGUAAAGGCUCACCAAGCCAACGAUCUGUAGCUGGUCUGAGAGGACGACCAGCCACACUGGGACUGAGACACGGCCCAGACUCCUACGGGAGGCAGCAGUGGGGAAUUUUGGACAAUGGGCGCAAGCCUGAUCCAGCCAUGCCGCGUGCGGGAAGAAGGCCUUCGGGUUGUAAACCGCUUUUGUCAGGGAAGAAAAGGCUCCUGCUAAUACCGGGGGUUCAUGACGGUACCUGAAGAAUAAGCACCGGCUAACUACGUGCCAGCAGCCGCGGUAAUACGUAGGGUGCAAGCGUUAAUCGGAAUUACUGGGCGUAAAGCGUGCGCAGGCGGUUAUGCAAGACAGAGGUGAAAUCCCCGGGCUCAACCUGGGAACUGCCUUUGUGACUGCAUAGCUAGAGUACGGCAGAGGGGGAUGGAAUUCCACGUGUAGCAGUGAAAUGCGUAGAUAUGUGGAGGAACACCGAUGGCGAAGGCAAUCCCCUGGGCCUGUACUGACGCUCAUGCACGUAGUAGCUUUCCGGUG
rnacentral:rRNA from 1 species